AGAAGUUAAUAACUUUUUCUAAAAAUUAUUCUCAGAUAACACGUUCCUUCGGUUCUUCAGAGUAGGCAUAUACAUAUUUUUCAGCAGCGAGGGGUGCUACGGUGCACUGUACAAGAAAGUUCGUACAUAACCUUCCGUAUGCUCAACUUUUAACCAUUGAAUAGUAAGGUAUCUAGGUUAGCUUUAGUAUUAUAAGCAGAAGUAUGUGUUCAAUGAAAUAUUCAGUUUCGUGCCCACUGUGUAUUGUAUUUUAUAAUAAAUUUAGUAUUUAAGCAACUUUGUUUAGUUCUAACGAUUAUACCGUAGCAAUAAGUGCAAUUGUAAGCGGAAACGAAAAAUUAGACUGUGUGAGCUCCGUUAUUAUACUUUUGUUCGUCAUGUUUAUUGUAUCGUAUGUAAUUAUUAUCUAUUUUGAUACAAUAAACGUUCGUUAAAAAAAAGAAACCGGUUAAGGUGUCUGGCUGUGGAACCGCUGGAAACUUUUUUGUCAACACAUCGGCCAGGACACUUUAAGGAGCUCUGGAAUAGGGUUGACGUUGGAAGACACCAAUAGAAGAAGAGGGAUAUUCGAUGGCUUAGAAGAAAUCGUCGUUAAUGGCUUUUCCCGAAGGAUUUCCAAGCAUUCCUUGCGCAGCUUCUCAUCCGAAAGCCUCCGCCAGCCACACGCGCUGCCUAGCGAUCGGCCACGUAACAACUGUAAUCACUGACACCUCGAGAGGAGGGAUCUUGGAAGGGAUUAGGUGGAGCUAGCGGCCCAGUCCCCUUGCCUCUGCGCAGUUCAGUUUAUUAGUGCUCGGCAACUUACUAUCUCUGCAUGAAACGAAAACAGGAAAACCCGUUGAAGGAAACACAAGGAAGUAUUCAAGUUGUGGGCUUUCAUCGUUGCCUUACAAGUUCCUCCACUUUCUACCUUUUCCGUCUGUCUCUCUCUGCUUCACCUUUUACAUCUUCUGGAGGUUAGACUUUUAAGUUGGACACCUCCUAUCCCCUACAUUUUCUAUGCGACCCUCUUUGAGCCUUUCCGAACUGUAUAUAAAGUGGUGCUACUAAAUCGGAAACCGCAGCUUUGUCGAUGCUAUAUUGCUACCACCUUCUCUUUACGUUACUCGUUUCUUUCCACCCUAUUGAACUGUCCUUCCCACUUGGGCAACCCCUUGGUCAGGAUGGAUCGUUGUUAGAGUUGACAUUGGAGUCGAAUUUAUUGGCUCGGUUGGUUCUUCGAACUGUUCACGGCGAAUAUAGUUUAGAAGCGGAAAAUUCAUCUUCCAACUUUGAUAACACUUUUUCUUAGGUUACGGACGAGGAUUACUCAUGAUUUCUGUGCCGAACCGCGAUUGUACAAUGAAGUGAAGAUUUGUUUCAAGUAUUUGGAAUUUUUUCUUACUUAACGGUGGAAUGAUAAUUUUUUUUUCAUUUAUUGGAGAGUGUAUGCUGAGUAGCAGUGAAAUUGUUAUUAGACGAUUCCUAGUAGCUUGGUUUCAAACUCUUGGAAAGUUUAUUUUUUCAAUUUACUUACAUGAAUUUCAUAUACUGUGCAGAAUAACAAAUUAAAGAUUACAAAAAGUUCUUAAAUAAAAAAUAUUACAAAUUUUCUGUUUUUCCUUCUCAUAUUUUGGAGUAAUGUGCAGUUUGAUGAACCAUAAUGUAACAAAGCUUUAACAGAAGCUAGGACUCGUAAUUAAUUAUCCUGAGUAAUAAUUUUCAACGACAGUGUCACUAACAAUGAUGACACGAGUUGAUUAACAAAGAGCCAUUUCAGUAGUUAAGUAAUUGCUACAUAGCUUUCUUUUUCUACUUAAAAAGAAAAUAUUGCGAGAUAAAUAGUAACCACAAUUAUAAAUCUUAUAUUUAUAAUGAUUAAAAACUGUACAGUUAUAAUUAUUUCUUAUAUAACAAUUUACUAAGACCAAAGACAAUUGUUAACACUAGAACUACCAAAGGGGUCAAAAUGACUGGUUUCUUCUUUCUUAUGUUAAAUUAUAAAUUUUGUCGAGGUAUUUUUGUUGAAACGUAUGUUGUCUGUUAUCGAGCUAAAGAAUGAAUGUAUAUAUUAAAUUAUGUUUCAUCCUUUACCUAUUUAGUAAUCAACAUUAUUGUCAGCUUGAAAAUAAAUGUGCGUCAAACAUUGGUAGUUCCAGUAUUAAAGUCCAAGAGUGACAGUAUUAAGGAAACCCUAUCAAAAAUGAAUGUGAAAGUGAUAAAAAAGAAUAAAUUAUUUUUAUUAUGUAAUCUUUUUUCGAAAAGUCAUACUUACUGACGAUUACCGAUGAUUACCGAACAGACACGAUACAGGGCCGACCGCAGGCAGGCUGUGGUGGCUCAGUUUGCACUCAACGAUCGAAGGAGGAGGAUAUCACGACUCGCUUUUGUUGUUAUAUUUCUCUUAUCUGUGGUGUUUGGAGUAAAUAAGAAUUUAAUAUAGAAGUCGUACAUCAUUUUAGAAUGAAGCCAACAAGUUUUUAUACUUUUACGAGUCAAAAGAAGUAAAGAAUCUCACCAGAACCAAAUAAGAUAAAAAAGGAUAUAAAAAAAACCAAACGUCAUUCGAUUCCGGAUUCUUUCGCAUUCAUUUAUUAUUAGCGAUUCAAUUGUAUUGUUUAAAGUUGUAUUUAACCGAUUCAAGUGUAAACACGUUAUAAUUGCAUCAAAUGUUUAAUAAUCGCAUUU